GUCGCUGUAAAUCCAGCGACCAGGUUUGGUCACCUGCGAGAAAUCAAGGCGCACAAGCGCCCCAUCCGAUUCAGCUGGCGCUUUUUUU
rnacentral:sRNA from 1 species